GGGACCAGAAGAGGAGCGCCAACCAGGUACUCUGUUCGAGGUGAGCAAACACCGAUGACAACAGACGAUGGGGAUUGGCGCCGAGGCAGCGGGCCGUUUGGCUCGGAUCGCUGCCGGUUGUAGAGGCUGAAUCCUCGCAACUGUCACCCUUUGGUGGAGAGCUUCUGGUCUU
rnacentral:ncRNA from 1 species